GACGUAGGGCGCGAGCGUUGUCCGGAUUUAUUGGGCGUAAAGAGCUCGUAGGCGGUUCGUCACGUCGGCUGUGAAAUCCCGAGGCUCAACCUCGGGUCUGCAGUCGAUACGGGCGGACUGGAGUACUGCAGGGGAGACUGGAAUUCCUGGUGUAGCGGUGAAAUGCGCAGAUAUCAGGAGGAACACCGGUGGCGAAGGCGGGUCUCUGGGCCGUAACUGACGCUGAGGAGCGAAAGCGUGGGGAGCGAACAGG
rnacentral:rRNA from 1 species